GAUGAAGAACGCAGCGAAAUGCGAUAAGUAAUGUGAAUUGCAGAAUUCAGUGAAUCAUCGAAUCUUUGAACGCACAUUGCGCCCGCCAGUAUUCUGGCGGGCAUGCCUGUUCGAGCGUCAUUUCAACCAUCAAGCCCCAGGCUUGUGUUGGAGCCCUGCGGCUGCCGCAGCCUCCCAAAACCAGUGGCGGGCUCGCUAUCACACCGAGUGCAGUAGUAUACUCUUCGCUCAGGGCGUGUGGCGGGUGCUAGCCGUAAAACCCCCAACUUCUCAAGGUUGACCUCGGAUCAGGUAGGAAUACCCGCUGAACUUAAGCAUAUCAAUAAGCGGAGGA
rnacentral:misc_RNA from 1 species